GACGAACGCUGGCGGCGUGCUUAACACAUGCAAGUCGAACGGAGUGGCGAACGGGUGAGUAACACGUGGGUGAUCUGCCUUGCACUUCGGGAUACGCUUGGGAAACUGGGUCUAAUACCGGAUAGUGCAAGAUGAGCUCGCGGCCUAUCAGCUUGUUGGUGGGGUAAUGGCCUACCAAGGCGUCGACGGGUAGCCGGCCUGAGAGGGUGUACGGCCACAUGGGGACUGAGAUACGGGCCAGACUCCUACGGGAGGCAGCAGGGGGGAAUAUUGCACAAUGGGCGGAAGGCUGAUGCAGGGACGCCGGGUGGGGGAGGAAGGCUUUCGGGUUGGAAACUCCUUUCGACAGGGACGCGGUACCUGUAUAAGAAGCACCGGCUAACUACGUGCCAGCCGCCGCGGUAAUAC
rnacentral:rRNA from 1 species